GCACUGCUGAAGAGCCCCAAACUGGGACGAAACGGCCGUCCAGUAC
rfam:Schistosoma margrebowiei strain Zambia genome assembly, scaffold: SMRZ_contig0000511